UGGGGAAUAUUGCGCAAUGGGCGAAAGCCUGCCGCAGCGACGCCGCGUGAGGGAAGAAGGCCUUCGGGUCGUAAACCUCUGUCUAGAGGGGAGAAACCAUUGAGGUCGAAUAGGCCUCUUUGCUGACGGUACCUCUGAAGGAAGCACCGGCUAACUCCGUGCCAGCAGCCGCGGUAAUCCGGAGGGUGCGAGCGUUAAUCGGAAUCACUGGGCGUAAAGCGCACGUAGGCGGUGUCGUAAGUCGGAUGUGAAAGCCCUCGGCUCAACCGGGGAACUGCAUUCGAGACUGCGACGCUUGAGUGCCGGAGAGGGUGGCGGAAUUCCAAGUGUAGGAGUGAAAUCCGGAGAUAUCUGGAGGAACACCAGUGGCGAAGGCGGCCACCUGGCCGGCAACUGACGCUGAGGUGCGAAAGCGUGGGGAUCAAACA
rnacentral:rRNA from 1 species